UAUAAGAUAAGCUAUGUAAAGCUAAUGGGUUCAUACCUCAUUGAAAGUUAACCUUCUUAUAC
rnacentral:tRNA from 1 species